AACACACACCACACAACGCACCACAUUCACACCCACACUCACACCACACUCAACACACACAUUCACACAUACCACACACACCACACUCAACAUACAUACCACACACCUCACUGACACACAAAACACACCACACAACACACCACAUUCACACUCACACGCACAUCACACUCACCACACUCACACAUUCUCACACACCACAUUCCACACACCACAUUCAACACACACACCACACACACUACACACUCACACUAAACACACCACAUUCAAACACCACACUCACACUCGUACCACACUCAUCACAAUCACCACUCAACACACUUACACACCACAUGCCACACUCACACACACUGCACUCAGCACACUCACCACAUUCACACCUUCACACCACACACACCACUCAACAUCCUUACACACCACACACCACACUGACACACAAAACACACAACACACCACAUUCGCACCCACACACACACCACACUCACCACAUUCACACCCUCACACCACACACACCACACUCAACAUACACACCACACACCACAC
rnacentral:lncRNA from 1 species